CAUGAGAUUUGGUCUUUGGGAAGGUGAAUCUAAACUCUGAAGUUUCAUCUCAAUCGCAUCAACAUGUAGCAGAAAGAGUUACAAUUAUCACAUAGUAAUGUUGCUUUUAACUCAUAUUUGAAGCACUCCAUUUCCUUUCUAUCAUGCAGGCAGUAAGCAGCGGGAGAUGCCAAUCUGAUACUGAUGCAAUCUAUGUCAAUGAGAAUGACAGUUUAUUCCCUUACACUGAUGCCAUCAGAUUUUGAGACGCUACUGUUGGGUUCUUGCUGACACAAUGGAGAUGCACCAAACUUUUCCAUGUUGGAUCAACUGACAAGCAACUACUCUUGCUUGUGGAUUGGACAGCAACUAAGAUUGCCUCUGCUGCCAUUGGAUCUCCAGUAUUAUAUGAGGUGUGACAGAGAACAGAAUCAGCAACAUGUGAACCAGUGAGAGGUCAUUUGCCAACCUGUUGCAGGUUUUUCUCACCUCUGGAUCAUUAUUACUCCACAGACCCUUUGCAGAACGGCUCACAUCAAACAAAAGAAAGCAAAUUCCACAAGGUUAUACAACACUGACACUGAUUCCUCGAGCAUUGUGUCAUUUCUUCUGUUGGGCUUUUUCUGAGGACACAAGCAUACCUACUGAGCUCCAUGCAAGUGAACUUGUUCCUCAUAACUUAUCUGAAUCAAUGGAGCAAGAAAAAUUGACCAUUGAGCUGACUCUCUGGAUAUGCUAUGAUUCAUGGUGGUAGCUGCUGAUUGGAGUAAAUUCUUUCAUCAAAAUGCAAAAAAGAAAGGUUGAAGGAAAAAUAAUCUAAAGAGGAAUCCAAAUUCUUUGUUCUUAGUUAUGUUAUCACUGUAUCCAACGAUCAGCAAAGCACUCAGGUUAUCAUCAUCAAAUGCAGAAGUCCCAAGUAACUGAGAUCAACAGCUCUGUCCUACAAGUACAAGAUUCUAAAUCAUAUGAGAGGCUCCUAUAUGGUGGCAAGCAAAUGGAGUCGUCUAAAGAUCGAAACCAGGCGUAGCAGGUUCAGAAGAGAUGAGCAUAAACUCCACGAGAUUGCAGAAGAUAACGGAGAAGGGAGAGUGAGAUGUUCCGACGUUACCUUGAGACUGAAGGCGUA